rnacentral:rRNA from 1 species
CCUACGGGUGGCAGCAGUGGGGGAUAUUGCACAAUGGGGGGAACCCUGAUGCAGCGACGCCGCGUGGGUGAAGGAGUGCUUCGGCAUGUAAAGCCCUAUCGGCAGGGAAGAAGCAAGACGGUACCUGACUAAGAAGCCCCGGCUAACUACGUGCCAGCAGCCGCGGUAAUACGUAGGGGGCGAGCGUUAUCCGGAUUCACUGGGUGUAAAGGGCGUGCAGCCGGAGAGACAAGUCAGAUGUGAAAUCCGCAGGCUCAACCUGCGAACUGCAUUUGAAACUGUUUCCCUUGAGUAUCGGAGAGGUCAUCGGAAUUCCUAGUGUAGCGGUGAAAUGCGUAGAUAUUAGGAAGAACACCAGUGGCGAAGGCGGAUGACUGGACGACAACUGACGGUGAGGCGCGAAAGCGUGGGGAGCAAACAGGAUUAGAUACCCCAGUAGUC